rnacentral:ncRNA from 1 species
UAGAUAUAUAUUCUAUUAUAUAUAUAUAUAUAUAUUUUUUGAUUUUUAUGUGAGUUUUUUUAUGAGUAAAAUUUAAUAAGCGUUCUUAAAAGCAGAAAUUAACAUUAAAUCUGAAGUUACCUUUGAUUUAGGAAUAAAGUCGAGUAUUAACAAUAUUUGUGCCAGCAGUUGCGGUUACACAAAUAAUACAAUUUAAUUUUAUUGGUUUUCAAUUUAUUAGAAUUUUUGGUUUAAAUUUAUAUUCAAAUUUAUUAAGUGAAAUUUUAAAUUAUAUUAAGUUUAUUUAUUUAGAUGAGGUUGAGAAGAUUAAGAAUAAACUAGGAUUAGAUACCCUAUUAUUAUAAAGAUAAAAAAAUAACAUCAAGUGAUUAAUAGCUAUGAUCUUUAAAAUUAAAAAAUUUGGCGGUUUUUUAAUCUAUUCAGAGGAACCUGUCCUGUAAUUGAUAGUCCACGAUUAAUAAAUACUUAUUUUAAUAAGCUUGUAUAUCGUCGUAUUUUGAGUAUUUUAUUAGAAUAAUAAUAUUCAAUAAAUUAAAUAAAAAAUAAAAUCAGAUCAAGAUGCAGUCUAUAAAUAAGGAGAGAUGGGUUACAAUAAAGAAAUUUUUGAAUUAAUUAGUGAAAAAUAGUCAUAAAAAUGGAUUUGAAAGUAAUUUUAAUUAUUAAAUUAAGAUGAUUUUAGCUCUAAAAAAUGCACAUAUCGCCCGUCACUUUCGUUUUAAAACGAAAUAAGUCGUAACAAAGUAGGUGUACUGGAAAGUGUACCUAGGGGCAA